AGGCCAGGGGAAGGAUGUUCAUCUGUCAGGCUUUGAUUGUUUAGCCUGACACACCAUAUUAAGCACUGUCUUCAUACAAUAUCCAAAAAAUAUAGUAACAUAAGGUACUCAGUUAAUUGAAAGCCUAAAAGUGCUUUGGAGCUACUUGCAAAUGCUUAUUUCUUGAAAUGUCAAGAGGGAAUACAAAGGUAGUCUUCUUUCAGCCAGCCAGCUUGACCCAACCACAGCCUCUUAAAACUACUGCUUAAAGUUGCCCAGUAAAGGCUCAAUGCAGAAUUUCAUUUAUUUUUAACACUUUGCGGUAUUGUUUCAGAUGCAUGUUUUGCUUCAAAGCUCUCCAAAGCCUUUUCAGUUCAGAAUCCACUGAAAUGAAUGUUGCAUUCUGUUUCCUUGUAACCUGGGUCUGGCUGGGAUGGUGUUAACUUCAUAGCAGUGAGCAGUUUGGUGGUGCUUGGUUGUUGUUUGCUCAGUUACAUAGUGAGAUGCACAGUGACAUGGACUCCAGGACAAAAACAAAUAAAAUAAAAUAAAGCCAUCUUAUGGUACCUGGGACUGCAAGAUAAUUUUUUGUCAACUGAAUGACUGGCAUGGUACAGCGGUACUUCUUUAUAGACCAACUUCUUUGUCUACUCGAUCUGUUCUUCCUGUUGGUAACCCAGGACUUGGCAUGUUCUAGUCUAUUUCAGUGUAUAUGGGCUUGAUAGUGAUGCCUAUAGCUGAAUGAUUUCAUAUUCCAAGUAGCCAUCAGCUCCCACAAGCUAGUCAGUUUAAAACCUGUUCAGAUAUUUUUCUACAGCUCAAGGCAAUGUGCGAAGUGUGGAUGUACUGUGGAACUGUAGUGGGUGCCACCAUGUUUCUGUUGUUUGUUCCCAAAUUCAGCAUUGAUGAUGUCUUUGAACUGCAAAGAAACUUGCUGAGACUGUAAUCUUUUGGUACAAACACAGCUAUAAAUUAUGCUCUGCUCUGCCCAAUACCAUUUAUUAAAAUUUUUUCUUAUGGCUGAGGUAUGUGCUUGUAAUACUUCAAAAACCUCGGUGAUGCGAUAACGUGAAGAACGUUAUUCUUGAUAGUAAUCACUUGUUCUGUAUUGAUUGUAUGUCAUUAUAUCUCUACCAAGUGUAUUCUAGAGGUCUUUGUGUUUCAAAUGAAAGAAUCUGGUAUACCAGCAGGCUCUAUAAUGGCUUCUAGAAGCUAAAAUAUUACAGUCACUGAUAUUUUAUCCUCUUCUGGGAGAAUAUCGUGAUGCUGAUUUCUUAAAGCUUAUCUGACUGCUUGUAUUUGCAAGACUGACCUUGAGGAGCUGAUAAAAUUAGUUGGUCUUCACCUUCCUUAACAUUCACUAAGAGUUGACAGCUAAUAAUUAUCAAAGACGUUCCAAGAUACUUCUGAAAUACUGAAUUUAUGUUGAUACGGUUGAAUAUUGGACAGAUACUGACUAACACUUAAGGCUACUCUGCUAACUUUACUCUCAGGCAUUAGGCUAUUAGAAAUCCAAUUUCUGCAAGGGUAUCUAUCUGCAUGUUUUAACUCCUGAAACUGGACUAUGAGAAUGAUGUACCAGUGUUUACCUGACUCAUACUCUUUGCAUUGACUUGCCAUGAGAUAUCCAUUACUUUUGUUGCGUUGCAUCAAAGUUAUAUGUGCAUUAUUCCAUUCGUUAGUGUUCUUAUUUGUUAAUUUAUUUCCCUCGUGAAGUGACUGGAAAUAGAGAUUUAUAUCAGCAUUUUUAUCAGAAGCAUGACUGGAAGAGCAGUUUAUUCAACAGAAACUACUACUUACACACAGAAACGCUCCAAGCCCUUCAGUCUCUUCUUGUGAGGCUUUUCAUCUGCUUACUGCUUGCCGUGGUAAUUUUGAUAACAGGCAAGUCAUAUUGACAGAAGUAAUCAGGAUGAAUAAGAACUGCUUACUAAAGCCAUGACUACAUCCAUAUUUCUUCUAAUUGAGUCUGCCUUUGUAGAGUAAGCUAUUCGGUGACAUAAAAUAAAGGGAUAAGAGUGAUGAGGUUGUGCUAAUAAAACACCUGAAAUGCUAUUUUCACAUAAUGUCUUGAAAACUGUUAAGAGUAAGUGGUAAUUUUAACAGUGUCUUCCAAGAUAGCAAACACAGGAUUGUGUAGUUGGUGCAGUGCAGUGCAGCCUGGACAUCACACCAGGUGUCAGCUUUAGGGCAGUUUUGAACAUGUUCAGGAUCAUGUAAGAGACUUACAGCUGCUUAUGUUUAAUCGCAGGGGUACAGGUAUUAGGUAAGGCAGCAGUUAAACUGAGUAGUUUGGUACGUGCCUUAAUUUAUAAAUGGGUAAGGAAAAUCAACUGCUGUUAUCUUGUAUUGCUAUACAGGUUAAAUCUUUUUUAAAUUAUGAUUAAAAGAAAAUCUAUGUAUUGCCUGUCUGCUAUGCUGCCUUUGAGGUUUGGUUAUAGUCUGGAUGCAACAGCCAUUUUGUUAAGCUCAUGUUGUAUUAUAUUGAUGUGGUCCUUCUCCAGCCUGAUGAGCAUGUUACUUGCAGAAUCUCUCUUGCAGCAUCACAAUAAAUUUGCAGAGCUGUCUCUAGAGUAUGUAUAAAGC
ensembl:lncRNA